rnacentral:lncRNA from 1 species
AAGUAGAAUUUUAGGUCUAGUGAGAGUUUUUAAGAUUUCAUGCAAUCAACUAGUUGGAUUGGAGUAAAACUUGUGUGAGAGGUUAUAAGACUCGUUUUUCUAUAUCCAUGAGAAAUUUAAAAUCAAUCGAAUAGUGCAAAGAAGAGAAAUUGGCUUUCGAAGGUUGGCAACUAGAUUGGAGAAGGAGGCUUGCUAAUACCCGAACACAUUUUUGAGGUUUUCGUCAAUUGGGUAACUCCGAUCCUUUUUAAAUUGUUUUGUGCUUGUUUUAAACUUGAUUUUUAAGAAGUAUGCAAAUUUUGAAUUGAGAUCAAUGGUUUAUUCAUUAGAUAUUUAGGUUUAAAUAUGUCAUAGGAAUUACUAGGAUUUGGAUUAGGGUUUGAUUACGGUUCGAUUUAGGGUUUUAUUUAGAGUUUAGGGUUUGGAUUAGGAUUUUGUUAGGGUUUGAUUUAGGGUUUGGAUUAGGGUUUGGAUUAGAGUUUAUAUUUUGAUUAGGGUUUGAUUUAGAAUUUGGAUUAGGAUUUGGAUUAGGAUUUAGGGUUUGGUUAGGAUUUAGGAUUGGAUUAGGGUUUGGUUAGGGUUUGAUUUAAGAUUUGGAUUAGGGUUUGGAAUUUGGUUAGGAUUUGAUUUAGGAUUUGGAUUAGGAUUUGGAUUAGAGUUUAGAGUUUGGUUAGGGUUUGAUUUAGGAUUUGGAUUAGGAUUUGGAUUAGGGUUUAGGAUUUGGUUAGGAUUUAGGAUUGGAUUAGGAUUUGGUUAGGAUUUGAUUUAGGAUUUGGAUUAGGGUUUGGAGUUUGGUUAGGAUUUGAUUUAGAAUUUAGAUUAGGGUUUGGUUAGGGUUUGAUUUAAGGUUUGAUUUAUGAUUGAUUUAGGAUUCGGUUUAGGAUUUAGGGUUUGAAAUAGGGUUUGAUUUAGGGUUUAAUUUAAGGUUUAUUUAAGAUUUGACUUAGGAUUUAGGAUUUAUUAGGAUUUAAGAUUUAAUUAGGUUUGGUCUAAAGUUUGAGUGAAAUUCAAUAGGGUUUUAAUUAGAAUUAAAUUAAGGUUGAAUUGACAUAUAUUUUAAUAAUAUUUGUGAUCAUUCUAAUAUUUCUUUAAGAAUUUUAUUGUAUGUUUGAAAUUUCUUUGAGUUUUUUUGAAUUUGAUUACGUUUAUUUACCAUUAUUAUAGUCUAAUUAGAGCAUUGUUAGUAUUCUAUUAGAAUUAGGAUUUUAUUAUCACAAUUUCUAUUCUUCCUUCUACAGCUAGGUGUCCAAAGCAUUCU